AGUGCUUUCUGUAAUUUGGAGAAGUGACUUUUGGAAUGGAAAUGAAAGUUCCUGGCUUCUCACAGAAAACACAUUCUGUGCUUGGCUGCUGAGUGCCUCUGAAGCCCACCAGCACCAAAGGAGUGUGUGAAUUUGGUGCAGCUUUCCUGACAAGGGACAGCUGAUCUCCCACAGCCCAGAGAGGAGAGUGCUGCUGGAAAUCCCCACCCCACAGAAUUCUGGCUGAAAAGAAAUGUGAUUGCACAGGAAGCACCUCUGCUUUUUCCCAGCCAGAGGUGAACCUUUCAGUUCUCCUUUCUUUGCUAAAAAACAAAGACAAGAAAGGAUUGCAAAGAGGAUUAACAUCUCUCUUGUUUGCUGAUAUUAUGACAAGAUGACAACUUUCCACAUUAUUACACGGUUUUCUGGAAGUCUGGAUUGUCAAUAUGGAUAAGCAAGACUAUUUUCUGCUUCUGAAAA